GACGAACGCUGGCGGCGUGCUUAACACAUGCAAGUCGAACGGAAAGGCCCUGCUUUUGUGGGGUGCUCGAGUGGCGAACGGGUGAGUAACACGUGAGUAACCUGCCCUUGACUUUGGGAUAACUUCAGGAAACUGGGGCUAAUACCGGAUAGGAGCUCCUGCUGCAUGGUGGGGGUUGGAAAGUUUCGGCGGUUGGGGAUGGACUCGCGGCUUAUCAGCUUGUUGGUGGGGUAGUGGCUUACCAAGGCUUUGACGGGUAGCCGGCCUGAGAGGGUGACCGGCCACAUUGGGACUGAGAUACGGCCCAGACUCCUUCGGGAGGCAGCAGUGGGGAAUAUUGCACAAUGGGAGGAAGCCUGAUGCAGCAACGCCGCGUGCGGGAUGACGGCCUUCGGGUUGUAAACCGCUUUCGCCUGUGACGAAGCGUGAGUGACGGUAAUGGGUAAAGAAGCACCGGCUAACUACGUG
rnacentral:rRNA from 1 species